GAUGAACGCUGGCGGCGUGCCUAAUACAUGCAAGUCGAGCGAACAGACCAGGAGCUUGCUCCUCUUACGUUAGCUGCGGACGGGUGAGUAACACUUGGAUAACCUCCCUCUAAGACUGGGAUAACUUCGAGAAACCGGAGCUAAUACCGGUUACUAUAUUGAACCGAAUGGUUCAAUAGUGAAAGACUGUUUUUCUGUCACUUAUAGAUGGAUCCGCGCCUCAUUAGCUAGUUGGUAAGGUAACGGCUUACCAAGGCAACGAUGCGUAGCCGACCUGAGAGGGAGAUCGGCCACACAGAAACUGAGACACGGUCCAGACAAAUACGGGAGGCAGCAGUAGGGAAGCUUCCGCAAUGGGCGAAAGCCUGACGGAGCAACGCAGGGUGAGUGAUGAAGGUCGUCGGAUCGUAAAACUCUGUUAUUAGGGAAGAACAAAUGUGUAAGUAACUAUGAACGUCUGGACGGUACCUAAGCAGAAAGCCACGGCUAACUACGU
rnacentral:rRNA from 1 species